rnacentral:rRNA from 1 species
GGACGAACGCUGGCGGCGUGCUUAACACAUGCAAGUCGAACGAUGAACCUGGAGCUUGCUCUAGGGAAUUAGUGGCGAACGGGUGAGUAACACGUGAGUAACCUGCCCUUGACUCUGGGAUAACCUCCGGAAACGGAAGCUAAUACCGGAUACGACGUACGGAGGCAUCUCCUGUACGUGGAAAGAACUUCGGUCAAGGAUGGACUCGCGGCCUAUCAGGUAGUUGGUGAGGUAACGGCUCACCAAGCCUACGACGGGUAGCCGGCCUGAGAGGGUGACCGGCCACACUGGGACUGAGACACGGCCCAGACUCCUACGGGAGGCAGCAGUGGGGAAUAUUGCACAAUGGGCGAAAGCCUGAUGCAGCAACGCCGCGUGAGGGAUGACGGCCUUCGGGUUGUAAACCUCUUUUAGUAGGGAAGAAGCGAAAGUGACGGUACCUGCAGAAAAAGCACCGGCUAACUACGUGCCAGCAGCCGCGGUAAUACGUAGGGUGCGAGCGUUGUCCGGAAUUAUUGGGCGUAAAGAGCUCGUAGGCGGUCUGUCGCGUCUGCUGUGAAACCCCGAGGCUCAACCUCGGGCCUGCAGUGGGUACGGGCAGACUAGAGUGCGGUAGGGGAGAUUGGAAUUCCUGGUGUAGCGGUGGAAUGCGCAGAUAUCAGGAGGAACACCGAUGGCGAAGGCAGAUCUCUGGGCCGUAACUGACGCUGAGGAGCGAAAGCGUGGGGAGCGAACAGGAUUAGAUACCCUGGUAGUCCACGCCGU